rnacentral:lncRNA from 1 species
GACUUCGACUCCAACACGAAAGUCGUAGCUCUCUCUCUUAGCUUUCCGGAGAUUUUUAGAACGCCUCAAACGGAUUCUCGGAACUCCAGUUAUGAUUGUUUCCGCGCAGACUGCUAAAGCUGAAAAAUAAGUGCGAAAAUUAAAUUUAACUAAAAAUAAAAUAAAAUAUGAAAACAUAAUAAAAUAUAAAAAUAAACAAAAUAAAAUAAAGA